rnacentral:rRNA from 1 species
UACGUAGGGGGCAAGCGUUGUCCGGAUUUACUGGGCGUAAAGAGCUCGUAGGUGGUUUGUCGCGUUGUCCGUGAAAACUCACAACUCAAUUGUGGGCGUGCGGGCGAUACGGGCAGACUGGAGUACUGCAGGGGAGACUGGAAUUCCUGGUGUAGCGGUGGAAUGCGCAGAUAUCAGGAGGAACACCGGUGGCGAAGGCGGGUCUCUGGGCAGUAACUGACGCUGAGGAGCGAAAGCGUGGGGAGCGAACAGG